rnacentral:rRNA from 1 species
UACAGAGGUGGCAAGCGUUGUUCGGAAUUACUGGGCGUAAAGGGCGCGUAGGCGGCCUUCUAAGUCAGACGUGAAAUCCCCCGGCUUAACCUGGGAACUGCGUCUGAUACUGGAUGGCUUGAAUUCGGGAGAGGGAUGCAGAAUUCCAGGUGUAGCGGUGAAAUGCGUAGAUAUCUGGAGGAAUACCGGUGGCGAAGGCGGCAUCCUGGACCGACAUUGACGCUGAACGGCGAAAGCUAGGGGAGCAAACGGG